rnacentral:rRNA from 1 species
GCCGCGGUAAUACGUAGGUGGCAAGCGUUGUCCGGAAUUAUUGGGCGUAAAGCGCGCGCAGGCGGCUUCUUAAGUCCAUCUUAAAAAGUGCGGGGCUUAACCCCGUGAUGGGAUGGAAACUGAGAGGCUGGAGUAUCGGAGAGGAAAGUGGAAUUCCUAGUGUAGCGGUGAAAUGCGUAGAGAUUAGGAAGAACACCGGUGGCGAAAGGGCGACUUUCUGGACGACAACUGACGCUGAGGCGCGAAAGCGUGGGGAGCAA